GGGGAGUACAAAACCUGGACAUGCCAGCUCCCCCUUCACCUCCGAGCACUGGCAGAUAUUAUGCACACUCUUGGAUUGCACAUGCUAUGCCACGUGAGGGCUAUAAAUAGCCGAGCGCAGCAGCUCAGCUCCUCAGUGCUCCGAACUUCCAGUGUCAAACCCAACUGCUCCCUGAAGACAAGCAAGGCAGACGGAGGGGCGGUCUCUGAAGGGGCAAACUCAGGAGGCCUCAGGCUACAGGUGCUGCUGAGGUGGUGACCACGCUACUCACCGAGACUCAAUGGUGUCUUGUCAUUGCCAGACCUGUUUUUACACCUGCCUUCUGUGGGUGGUCUCAGUGCUCCUUCAACAGCAGCAGCAGCUUCGCAGGUGGGUUAAUGCCCGAGACUCUGCUGCUGUGUGAAGGAAUCUUCAACCCACCUGUGCUUUUCGGUGACCGGUCUCUCUUCCACGGAGAGACAGGACUUUGAGAUCGCAUAGCCAGGUCUACUUCUAAAACAAGGGGUUUAAGUAAAUCAAGGAGAUAGAUGGGGCUUUCAAGGCUACCGCUAUGGAUUCUCUAGGCAAAUGUCAAAGCAAAAUUGUUCAUCGUGAUGCUCUUGCAUGAAUGAAGCCACUGGAAACAAGGGUAGACUACAGAUCUAACCAAAUGUGUUACACAAACUCUGCUUUUGGAUGCAAAUCUCUGGGACAGCAAGCAGGAAGAAACCUUUACUGCAUAAAAGUGUCUGCACCUCCGAUAUGGCAGCAUUGGGACAGAACAGGAAAAACAGAAGGUGAAAGCGAGCAACUAAUUUUUUACACUUCUCUCAGGCUGGGGAGCGCAGACAAACUGCAGCAGUGGAUUUUUUUGUUUUUGUUUUACCCUGACACAAGUACAACGCACAUCUCUGAAAAAAUUCACUAGAAUAAGUAUCCACCUGCUAGAGAAGCGUGGGGGCUGCAACAACAGAACAACUGACACUAAAUCAUGGUUCUGGGAAGAGGGGGUGGCUCCGAGAGACAGGGCUGGGGGUGGAUUAGUCAGACACCAAACUAUGGCAAUGAACAAGACGAAAGGAAAGUGAGAACAGGAAGACCCUCCCUUCCAAAUGGAGUUACUAUGUCUAGCCACAGGAGGAGUCCAAUGGGGAUUGCAACUUUUCCCUUUCCUUAACCCUAAACUGGGAUGAAGGGGUGGUCACCGCUAUUGGGCCUGGUUGCUAGCACACGCCCAAAUCCACACAGCCCUGCUGCUAUUUCAGCUCAGUUAUCGACUGUCGUUUGCAAACUGGGCUGUUGUCCAUUGUGAACUGUACCGAGAUCACCAGCAUUCCAACGAGAAGGCCAAGAGGCAACAAGUUUUCAAGAAAGCUGCAGACAAGCGCUGGUUGUACCUGUGCCCAGCCGGCCAGCCAGAGCCUUCACAGACAGUGUGCUCUCUUCACUCCCCUGAUUGCCCCCCCCCUCCUUCAUUCAUUCCAUGAACAGCCGGGGUCAGACCAACACGGAGGGUCAGAAAGCUAAGAAGUCUAGCCUGAGCCAGCAACACUUCAUGUCAGGCCAUUCAGAAUCCCCAACGUACAUGCAAGGGUCCGCAGUUCCCAGGACCGUGUGUUCCAUGUAAACAAGCUGUAGUAUUAGACAGAAUGCAGGAGCUUCUGCACUGCUGAGCCCCUCCCCGCCCAGCCAGCCCCCUUCAGGGCACGUCUUGGGUUUCAGCUUUCGGCGGGCGUUCCGGGGCACUGCACCGUGCAGCACAAGCUGAAGGCGGAGAGUUUCCAAGGUAAUGUUAGAACAGAUAAGAGCGCCUAUCUACCGCCAGCCAGGUGCUACGAGUGACAAGGCAGGAAGGACAUAACCAUCAGCCAUACAAGCUCUCUGCUGAUUUUAACAGUUUUCCCCAGAAGCUUUGAGUGCGAAGGAGCCUUCAACAGUUGGCUGGUACCAGGAGAUUCUGACAUUUGGGUUUGAAAAUUGCUGGGUUUUUCCCCUCUUCUUCUAUAUUGGGAAGAGACCUGUAGGACUUUACCAGAGCACACUGGAACAUUCUAGAGCACACAGAUUAAUAGAAAUCUUGGAGUCAAUUAUAAAAGUCACUUCUCAGAGUGCAAACAUGCCAGGUCUGUAGCGCCACUGCCGAGAGAUUCUGACAAAGGGAGUGUUGUGCCUAUGUCAACGCAAACACCGGUUUAAGAGAAACAUAAAAAGCUUGUGCAUGCAGCCAUCACAACCUCCUGCAGUUGCCAUGUGGGAAGAUGAAAAUGGGUUACCAUGGUUACUACUGCCUGGGAAGAGAAUAUUCAGCUCAAACCAGAGCCAAUGGUUCAUCCUGUUAAACUACAGACACCAUCCUGAUUAACUAAAGCCUGAUGCUGCAGCCGAGUCUGUAGAAUUAGUAUUUCUUCUAAUGGAUCAGAACAACCCUGCUGCAAAUUUAAAUCAACAUACAGCGAUGGUUCGAGUUCCAAAACCUAGCACACACACAGGUAUUAGAAUCCAAGAGCACUGAGUGCAACACAAAGAGGAGACGUGGUACGUACUCCAAACCUAGUGCAGACCAAACAUGCUGAUGCAGAUAGCAGAUCAGAUGCCAGGGCAACUUAGAGGUGGUGAGAAAUCACACUGUCAUUAACACACAGCAUAAGAUGGCAGUAAUUUUUUCCUGCCCAUCCUCCUCUCAUCACUAUUAAAAUGUAAAACUAAAUAUUUACUGCAUAUGCUGUCAACACUCAAGAGUUCUAAUUAGAUACACAAGUUGAACACUAAGAGCAUACCACAAUGCAGGGCUGCUUUCUUCAAAGGAACAGAGUAUAUUUUAAAGAAAAUCAUAGCACCACAUUUAACUGCAGUCUUCGUUUGUGACUAUGCAUUUAAAACCUUCACUGCACUGAGAAAACAACUGCAACUAGAGCCAAGUGGAGUUCUGAUCAUUUUAACAGCCCAGAAAGCGUCUGAUGUUCACACACUUGGCUUAGCCUGAAUGCGUACUUCCCGAAUGGUUACAUAAACACGGAUUGCUAGAUGCUCUUUAUGUAUCACCAAACUACAUUUAAAGACUUCAAGCAAAACUUGUCAGAGCUAAAGAGACUCGUAAGGCACAGGUAUCACCCCCCACUAUGUCCCUACUGCAAGUCAGGCAGGCUUAGAAAGAGAAACAAGGAACGUUUCCUUCUCCACCAAUGAGGAGAAAAUUCUUACUACCAGGAAAAAAAAGCAAGCAAGCAACAGGUAUUCAAAACCCGAGAGAUCACCACACCUGAACCAGGCAAGAGGGAGAAGACAACAAAGAGGCACUCCAAUCACUUUUACAGCAAAAGAAGGCUUUCUUCAGAGUUCAGUGUUUUGUAAAGCACUGCUCCCCUCCCACUCUGCUCUAGCUCGAAGUCCCAAGCUGACUUCAUCAGCCAGGUUAUUCUUGCCACAUGGCCAGCAUGUUCUGCCAGAGUAACUCUCACUGCAAAGCCCAUCUGUACAACCGUAUCAUUCUCCUUACAGUUGUAUAAUCACGUAGUCGGUUACUUCACAGCCUACACACGGAAGCACACACAACCAAAGGGGCCUGACUUGCAUAGCACAUCUUUCUUCAUAGACACAGCACUAAGUCUUAGUUAUCAUGCAGAAGUAUAAUGCUGACAUCACAGCAGAGCUGCCACCCUGCCUUCUAGAGACGUGUGUGUGUGUGUGUGUGUGUGUGUGUGUGUGUGUGUGUGUAGUAAUAGCUUUUA